CAUGGUAACUGAAGAUGAAAAUUUUUGGUGAGAACCUGCCUUUUCAUUCCUCACACCAUGCUUUCCAGAUUCCCCCUCAGAUUUAUACUGCAGCUCUGAGACUCUUCUGUGAAAUAUGCUUAAAGUCUUGCUCAUAUCUCCCUGGAACUACACACUGGUGAGCACAGUCGUGUGUGCUGCACAGCUUGGGUACCAGAGCAGAUGCUUCUGCACUGACUGUCCCUGUGGAAAACAGUUUCACCUUUGUUCCUCUAAUGGCUCCCAGAGUUCAUCUUCCACCUUCCCACCUGGGUGAAGGCAACCCUACUGGGAUCUCUCUCAUCCUUCCAUUAACAACCAAAUGUCUAAAUACUGGAUUAUAACUGAGUUUAUAACUCUGUGUGUUCUUUUUGUGGUGAACUCCCGUGAAGCAAACAGGGAGAGAGCCGCUACCUCCAGAGAGGUACAGAAUUCAGAGAAAAGCAUAUGUGGUCUCUUUAGACAACUCAGGGCUUCUUGCCAGGCUUGCCUCAGUUCAACAAGAGAGACUGCUAUCUGCUAGUGUGUUCUGAGAGGGCGCUUCUUUCAGCAAAUACAAGGCACCAACUCUUCUGGGAGACAAAACCAAUUAAGAGGCAAUCAGUUGCUCCAGGAUAUGGCAGCUGACACAUUUAUCUCGUUUUGCGUGACAGGCACAAAGGGGUCUUCUCACCAAACUGAUCACGGGAUGACAAUAUGGAAAAAGAGGUUAUUUUUGUAGAUCUUUGCCUGCCUACAAAGAGGUUAGAUUUGAUGCAAGGUAGACUGGACAGUUAUGGAUUUUGAUCUUCUAUGAACUUCUGAGCUGCUACAAUUUUUAUGAGACUCCACAAGAUUGGUUGUCUACUGAGGGUUUCACAGUCAUACUGAAUUCAUGCUAAAGAUAAUGGGAAAGGACUGACACUCCCGGAAGCUGACUCUGCAGGGAACCCUGAAUACUCUCUUGUCUGCGGAAGCAAAUCAGGAAAAGCAGCUGGAUUAUACUGGCAAAUACCUCAGGAAGGAAGAACUAAUUGCUCCUAUCAUUACUGGAGAGCCAGAUACGAAGAAGGUGUCAUAUGAGGGGAUCAACAUGCGACAGGAAAAUACACAGCAUCCAAAAAAGGAAAACCCUGUAAGAGUUUGUUAAAGUAAACAAUGACUGCGUAUGAAUAGUAUAUCGUCUUGCAGAAGUUCAGUAAGUAUGUGUGCGUCAUCAGAUUUUGACAGAGUAAGUAUUUGUUUCUUCUGCUUGCGUGUAGAAAUACAUCUGUAGAGGCUUUACUAGAAUAUUCUGCAAUUUUCUGUCCAGGUUCAGUCGUUAUACAGGCCGAGAGAUUCUUACUUACAGGACUUCAUUUUACUGCACUCAGAAGUUGAAGCUCAAACGACCACUGGAAAUGGCAGAAAGUGAGCCAUGGCAGAACCGUGUAGAGAAGUUUUCGGUACUCAGGACAUGGACUGGAUGGGAAUAUUUUUUUUUUUUUUUAAGUAAAAAACCCACUCUCUUAGGACAGAGUGAUGGCGGGAAGCCACUCUGUUCCUAUAAAAAGUUUAGAGUUUUAUGACUGAAAAUCCUGACAAUGAGGCCAAGCACAGAGGAUGACAGAAGCACUGUGAUAUUCAUUCAUUUCAAAAAAUACUGAAUGAGUGAAGCUGGGCCAUGCUUACCAACAUAACCGUCCUUCCAAAAGACACUUUGAGAUCUUGGUACAUCUCAAACAGAGAUGUCAAUGUCUGUAAUCCUAGCAGAAUGAUAUUUCGCAUAUCUAUAGCAUCUUCAAAAUGAGAAGAUCCAAAUUUCCUUAUAGUAAACUAUUUCAUCUAAAAUUUUAUUUUUACACAUAUAUAAAUAUGUGUGUGUAUAUAUAUCUUCUACCAGAAAUAAUGACAGUUUGGGAUUGUCUAGUAGAUUUCCACUUUUGAAAUAAUAUGGGGAAAAUAAUUUUCCUCAUAUAUUUCUUAAUUGGAUAAAUAGGUGGUAGGUGAAAAAUACCAUCUGGGAUCUAUUGGCUGAGAAGUUUCAUAGGGCAGAUAAACCAAUCAUGAUCUACGACUGGAUCAAGUUAUUAAUCAUGUGCUUUUAAUUGUUAGUUUCAAUCCUUACAUGGAAUGCAAUUGGUUUUUUGUCUAUAAUAUCUGUUAUAUUCCAUAGCAUUUCAUAAGAGAUCUUUAAACAAAAGAUAUUGCACUUUCUGAAACUAAUAGAGAAAUUGGUUU